AUUGAACGCUGGCGGCAUGCCUUACACAUGCAAGUCGAACGGUAACAGGUUAAGCUGACGAGUGGCGAACGGGUGAGUAAUGUAUCGGAACGUGCCCAGUCGUGGGGGAUAACUGCUCGAAAGAGCAGCUAAUACCGCAUACGACCUGAGGGUGAAAGCGGGAGAUCGCAAGACCUCGCGCGAUUGGAGCUGCCGUUAUCAGAUUAGGUAGUUGGUGAGGUAAAGGCUCACCAAGCCGACGAUCUGUAGCUGGUCUGAGAGGACGACCAGCCACACUGGGACUGAGACACGGCCCAGACUCCUACGGGAGGCAGCAGUGGGGAAUUUUGGGCAAUGGGCGCAAGCCUGAUCCAGCCAUGCCGCGUGAGGGAAGAAGGCCUUCGGGUCGUAAACCGCUUUUGUCAGGGAAGAAAAGGUUCUGGCUAAUACCUGGGACUCAUGACGGUACCUGAAGAGUAAGCACCGGCUAACUACGUG
rnacentral:rRNA from 1 species